rnacentral:lncRNA from 1 species
CGGGGCCACUGCCAGCACAGGGCAGUGCCUCAGCCCUGCAUCACCUGGGGACACAUCCCUCCUCUGGGAGCAUCACCCUCCAGUCCCACAGUGGCUCAUCACUACAGCACAGUGACUGCUGUGUCACCUGCAUCCCCGGCACCACAGCCUUGCUCUGUGGCACCAAAAGGUUUAGGCCAGGAAGAUGCAUGUCACCUGAAAGCUGUCAGUUCCACCUUCUCAUGGUCACUGGUCACCAGCUCAGGGAUAAGGGAGAGGUGGGAGAUCUGCGUGGCCGCCCAGCCGAACUGGAAGAUGACGAUGAAGGGGAGGUAGUAGAUGAAGGCUGCCCACUGUGGAGUGCCCUCCUUGCAGCCCAGGCAGGGGUUGAAGAUGAAGGGGAAGGAGAUGAGGACGCAGGUGGUACCUGGGAAGAGAGAAGGGGAGCAGUGAGCUUCUCUAGGAACACACGGAUGCAGCUGCUCAGCCAGGUCCUCUUUCCACUCUUCCUCCCUGCCCUCAUGGCGCCCCGAGGGGCACAUAAGU